AAAAAGACAAACCCUGGUUUCCGUGCCCAACGUUUGACCGUCCGUCUUAUUUGAAAAAAUUAUAAAAGAAAUUAAAAAGACAAGUCACGCAUAAAAUAUUAAUCAUGUUUUAUCAUCUAACAACAAUAAAAAUACGAAUUAUAAAAAAAUUUCAUAUAAGACGGACAGUCAAAGUUGGACACGGAAACCUAGGGUUUGCUUUUUU
rnacentral:pre_miRNA from 1 species